GACGAACGCUGGCGGCGUGCUUAACACAUGCAAGUCGAACGAUGAAGCGGGUGCUUGCACUCGUGGAUUAGUGGCGAACGGGCGAGUAACACGUGAGUAACCUGUCCUUUUCUUUGGGAUAACGGCUGGAAACGGCUGCUAAUACUGGAUAUUCAGGCUGCAUCGCAUGGUGUGGUUUGGAAAGGUUUUUUCUGGGAUUGGGUGGGCUCGCGGCCUAUCAGCUUGUUGGUGGGGUGAUGGCUUACCAAGGCUUUGACGGGUAGCCGACCUGAGAGGGUGGUCGGUCGCACUGGGACUGAGAUACGGCCCAGACUCCUACGGGAGGCAGCAGUGGGGAAUAUUGCACAAUGGACGAAAGUUUGAUGCAGCGACGCCGCGUGGAGGGUGUAGGCCUUCGGGUUGUGAACUCCUUUUUCUCGCGAAAAAGGCACAGUUUUGGCUGUGUUGAUGGUAGUGGGGGAAGAAGCGCCGGCUAACUACGUG
rnacentral:rRNA from 1 species